rnacentral:rRNA from 1 species
UACGUAGGGUGCGAGCGUUGUCCGGAAUUAUUGGGCGUAAAGGGCUCGUAGGCGGUCUGUCACGUCGGGAGUGAAAACUCGGGGCUUAACCCCGAGCCUGCUUCCGAUACGGGCAGACUAGAGGUAUGCAGGGGAGAACGGAAUUCCUGGUGUAGCGGUGAAAUGCGCAGAUAUCAGGAGGAACACCUGUGGCGAAAGCGGCGCACUGGACCACAACUGACGCUGAGGCGCGAAAGCUAGGGGAGCAAACAGG